UGCGUAGGCGGUUCUUUGUGUCCGCUGUGAAAGCCCCGGGCUUAACCUGGGAAUGGCAGUGGAAACUAGAGGACUCAGAAUCUGGCAGAGGGGGGUGGAAUGCCACGUGUAGCAGUGAAAUGCGUAGAGAUGUGGCGGAACACCGAUGGCGAAGGCAGCCCCCUGGGCUGAGAUUGACGCUCAGGCACGAAAGCGUGGGGAGCAAACAGGAUUAGAUACCCUGGUAGUCCACGCCCUAAACGAUGAUCACUAGGUGUUGGGGAAGCGAUUUCCUAGUACCGCAGCUAACGCGUGAAGUGAUCCGCCUGGGGAGUACGGUCGCAAGAUUAAAA
rnacentral:rRNA from 1 species